UCAGACAUGGUGUAGUGGUAGCACGGCCACUCUGAUUUUGCGAGUUAUUCAAACCUUUUUGAGGCAGUCCUGGAUUCGAAUCCUGGUGUCUGAA